ensembl:lncRNA
CUUCGAAAGUUAUUAGAAAAUUCAGCAUUACCUGACAGGUAGUGGAAGAAAUGUUAUAUUCCUUUAGUAAAGUAGCAAAGCAACAGAACAACAUCAUGUAAAUGCUUAACUACACAUAACAUUGAAUUAUUGGCAAACUGAACAUAAGGUAAUCAAAAGCAAAAGCAUUUAUUCUGCAGAAAAAUGUUCCCUACCUGUGCUGUAUGGAUCAAUAUCACUGCGGUGUUGGCAACACAGCUGUUUCAAUUUCAUUCAACAAAGUGAUUUCUCAGAGAUGCUAAUCUGCAAGUGCUGGUACGAUCUGCACCUGUUCAACUUUCCUGUUUCGUUAAAGUGAACAUGACAGGAGUAAUCUCCUCUCCGUUAUCAAGGUUUUCACUGCUAACAUGCUAAAGGUGUUUAAAAAACACAUCUCCACACUGCACUAUAACUUUACAUAUGUUGGACACAUAUGGUGCUUACUAAGAGAAAAUGCAUUGGUUACAGAGAUAAUGCACAAUGUGCUUUAAAAAAAAAAAAAAUUGCUAAUACCUAUUCUGUACUCACAAUGCACAGAUACUACCUGAUCUCAGAGCAGUCAAGGCAGAGCCCAUGGCAGAAUGUUAAUCUCUCAUCAAGCUCCCGUUAAAGACAAGAGGUUCAUCCACAAUGUGCAUGUGCAAACAAUCACAGAAAUCUGCUUGCCUCUCAGCAAACUCGCGCUAUUAUUAAAGGGGUACAACCACACCCAUCAAAACUUUGCUCCCUAUGGAUUCCAGUGGAAAUUAACUCAAGCAGAGUCAAACCUGUUUCUACGGACAAUUUCAGAAUCCAUCCACAAGAUAGACAAAUGUUAAAAAGCAUUUGUCUCCUUCCUGAUUUCUUAUAAAAAGUUAUCCAAACCUACUUAGCCCUAUUUAUCUGGUGGUGGUGUGAUGAUCUGGGGCUGCUCUGCUGCUUCAGGAUCUGAAUGACUUUCUGUGUUUGGUGGAAACAUAAAUUCUGCUCUCUAACCGAAAAUCCUAAAAGAAAAUAUCUAGCCAUUAGUCCAUGCUCAAGUACACUUGGGUUAUGCAGUAGGACAAUCAUCCGAAUCAAGCCCACCUCUGAUUGACUAUAAAAAUAUAGAAGGAGAAGAAAAAGAAGGUUUUAUAGAGGGCUAGUCAAUCUGAA